rnacentral:rRNA from 1 species
GACGAACGCUGGCGGCGUGCCUAAUACAUGCAAGUCGAACGCUUCCUACCGGUGCUUGCACCGGGAAAGAAGAGUGGCGGACGGGUGAGUAACACGUGGGUAACCUACCUACAAGCGGGGGAUAACAUUCGGAAACGGAUGCUAAUACCGCAUAGAUCUUUUUGUCUCCUGGCAGAGAGAAGAAAGACGGUUUCGGCUGUCACUUGUAGAUGGACCCGCGGCGCAUUAGUUAGUUGGUGAGGUAAUGGCUCACCAAGACGAUGAUGCGUAGCCGACCUGAGGGGGUGAUCGGCCACACUGGGACUGAGACACGGCCCAGACUCCUACGGGAGGCAGCAGUAGGGAAUCUUCCGCAAUGGACGAAAGUCUGACGGAGCAACGCCGCGUGAGUGAAGAAGGUUUUCGGAUCGUAAAACUCUGUUGUUAGAGAAGAACAAGGAUGAGAGUAACUGCUCGUCCCUUGACGGUAUCUAACCAGAAAGCCAUGGCUAACUACGUGCCAGCAGCCGCCGUAA